rnacentral:misc_RNA from 1 species
GAUGAAGAACGCAGCGAAAUGCGAUACUUGGUGUGAAUUGCAGAAUCCCGUGAACCAUCGAGUCUUUGAACGCAAGUUGCGCCCGAAGCCAUUAGGCCGAGGGCACGCCUGCCUGGGCGUCACACGUCGUUGCCCCCCCAUCUACUCCUUCGGGAUUGCGGGGGGCGGAUGAUGGCCUCCCGUGCGCCUCGCCGCGCGGUUGGCAUAAAUGCCAAGUCCUCGGCGACGCACGCCACGACAAUCGGUGGUUGCGAAACCUCGGUUGCCCGUCGUGUGCGGUCGUCGCGCAUCGAGGGCUCGAAAAAAUUGCCGGGUUCCGGCUCGGCUUUCAACGCGACCCCAGGUCAGGCGGGGUUACCCGCUGAAUUUAAGCAUAUCAAAAGCGGAGGA